rnacentral:lncRNA from 1 species
ACCAUGUCAGAGGCAGUUGUGGACACAAGCUCCGUGAUCACCACCAAGGACUUCAAGGAGAAGUUGUGGAGGAGGCAGAAAGUGGAAGAGACGCCCAUGCUAACGGGAACGCUAAUGAGGAAAAUGGGGAGCAGGAGGCUGACAACGAGGUAGAUGAAGAAGAGGAACAGGGUGGGGAGAAAGAGGAGAAGGAAGAGGAAGGUGAUGGUGAAGAAAAGAACGGAGAUGAAAACGAAGCAGCUGAGGCGGUAUGGACAAAUGGGCAGCUGA